AUGAAUAUUGUUGCAUUACCCGCUGUGAAUUUUUCAAAAUCAUCAAGAGGUGUUGUUGUCUUUUGAAUACAUUGAAAGAAUCAUUCACAUCGAUUUGCUCAUAUACAAUAAUAAAAAAUAAAAUCAAUUUCAAUUUCAAUUACUUCCUUGAAGCUUUAGAAGAAGAAAAUUAUUUAUUCAUUGCACCUGAAAAUCUAAACCCUCCAAAUCUAUCAUCAUCAUCAUCAUCAUGUGAAUCAAAAUGAUGGCCAUCAACUAUCCAAUCAAUUAACGUCUAUGGAUAGAUGUUAACAACAUCAACAUGUGUUUUUUUAGUCGAUGAUUUCAAUCAGAUCCAUUAAUGAAAUUCAAUGGAAUUUGUUACCCUUUGCCAACAUGUUGACGAAUAGAUUCAUGAAUAGAUUACAUUAUUAAUCAAAAUAAAUUAAAGAGUCAUAUGAUGUCAAUUUGGAAUGCAAAUCACCAUGGGAAUUCAAGAAUGUUUGAUGAACAAAUUGAACGAAAAAUCAACAUAAUAGCCAAAAUCAUAAUGUAAAAAUUUAUGAAAAUAAAAUCGAUGAAAGGGUUCGAUGUCCGGAUGUCAAUUCAAUAUUUACCUGAUAUGAAAUUUGAUAAAUAAUUGAAAAAAUCAAAAUGUUUGUCCAAAAAAUUUUAUCAUGGGUUCUUCAACCCAUCAUCACUUAUCAU